AUUGAACGCUGGCGGCAGGCUUAACACAUGCAAGUCGAACGAGUCGCGUACGGGUGAGUAAUGCGUGGGAAUCUGCCUUAUGGAGGGGGAUAACGACGGGAAACUGUCUCUAAUACCGCAUUCCAUCGGAUGCGCCCAUGUGGGAUUAGGGUGUGGGUGGGGUAAUGGCUCACCAAGGCGACGAUCUCUAGCUGGUCUGAGAUGAUGACCAGCCACACCGGAACUGAGACACGGCCCGGACUCCUACGGGAGGCAGCAGUGGGGAAGAUUGCGCAAUGGGGGCAAGCCUGACGCAGCCAUGCCGCGUGUAUGAAGAAGGCCUUCGGGUUGUAAAGUACUUUCGGUGACGAGGCGUUACUCACAGAAGAAGCACCGGCUAACUCCGUGCCAGCAGCCGCGGUAAUUC
rnacentral:rRNA from 1 species